UACGAAGGGAGCUAGCGUUGUUCGGAAUCACUGGGCGUAAAGCGCACGUAGGCGGAUGUGUCAGUCAGAGGUGAAAUCCCGGAGCUCAACUUCGGAACUGCCUUUGAUACAGCACGUCUUGAGUCCGAUAGAGGUGGGUGGAACUGCGAGUGUAGAGGUGAAAUUCGUAGAUAUUCGCAAGAACACCAGUGGCGAAGGCGGCUCACUGGCCCGGUACUGACGCUGAGGUGCGAAAGCGUGGGAGCAAACAGGG
rnacentral:rRNA from 1 species